rnacentral:lncRNA from 1 species
ACAGUAGUUUGGAUUCAGCACAGUGUCUUCACAGUCUAUACUACUCAACCCUGGACCUUGCCUGGCAAAAAGCUUUGAAGAUUUUAUUUUAUGGUUCCCUCUUACAGUUGGGAAGUGAAUUGUAUUACAUUGAGGUGUUUUGCAAACUGGACAAGACUGUGGUAUGUCAAGGAUGGGAAAAAAGUCAUUGGAUUAUUAAAGCUGGUUUGUCUGGUAGUCUGAACUGCAGCACCCAUAGUAUCUACAGUGAUGUCCCUUCUGGAGUGUUUACACCAAAUGGGAAGUCCAGGAUUUGGAUCCUGGUUCAGGCACCGGAUAUUUCUGAAAACUUUUGCAUGUCUUCCACACACCUAAGACACCAGCACUUGUACGUCCCAGGAAAGAGGGCACUGCAUACAUCAUUGCUCUACACAGGGUAUGUGAAGGAACCAGACAGUCACAUGUAGCUAAUGGGUAUGAGAAGGAACCAAGCUCAGUCACAUGUAGCUAAUGGGUAUGUGAAGGAACCAGGCUCGGACACAUGUAGCUAAUGGGUAUGUGAUGGAACCAGGCUCAGUCACAUGUAGCUAAGUUAGGUAAAUGAAACUAUUGGUAUUUUUCCUGGACAAGAAAAGCAAUGGCACGUCAGAAAUUUACAAUGCAGGAGACAAGAACUGUAGCAACAAGUGUUAGAGCAAAGAAACAAAAAAAUAAGUUUCAAAAAGAGAGAGUAAUAAAGUCAGAACUUAAUGACGGCAAAGAGGGGACAACAUAUGAAAGAAGACUUGAGUUGAAGGAGUCUGGAGAAGCCAUGUGAUGUUCCAUCCAUACAGUCAUCCAGUUUAUACAGAGUAGGCCUGUAACAGAUACUCAAAAUGAAGAGGAAGUAAUGAGAGAACAAGUCACAUUAUAGAGAUGAGUGCCAGGAGGGAAGAGGAAACUUUCAACUGAUAUAUUCAUCAAACU